rnacentral:tRNA from 1 species
UAAGACACUAGUAAAGAUGAACAUUAUACUGCUUUGUCAAAGCAAAGACGCGGGUUAAAUCCCCGCGUGUCUUAA